rnacentral:rRNA from 1 species
AUUCUCAAGUUCCUACCUCAAAGUAGGAACCUGUAAAUUGUUGGAUUGGCAGUGUUGUGCUGGGUGAUUUGGAAGCUCGGGAACAGGGCCUGUUUUGAAAUUAAAUUGGUAAGAUCACUUGCUAAAUUUGUUUACUAUGUUGUUUCUUUUAUAAAUUACUGGGCAACACUACAAAAUGAUGAGGAUCAUGCAAUGUUGAAUCAAAGAGCUUUUGCAUUACAAAGGACCACGUUGGAGCAGCACGAGAAUGGGUGGAAGGAUCGAGGAGAAGAUGCGUUGAUGAUCACUAGAGAUGCUCGAGAUGCAAGGGACAAGAGCGAGGAAAUGGAUGAAGACUAA